UACGUAGGGGGCGAGCGUUGUCCGGAUUUAUUGGGCGUAAAGAGCGUGUAGGCGGUUCGGUAAGUCUGUCGUGAAAUCCUGAGGCUCAACCUCGGGCGUGCGAUGGAUACUGCCGGGCUAGAGGAUGGUAGAGGCGAGUGGAAUUCCCGGUGUAGCGGUGAAAUGCGCAGAUAUCAGGAGGAACACCAAUGGCGAAGGCAGCUCGCUGGGACGUGACUGACGCUGAGACGCGAAAGCGUGGGGGAGCAAACAGG
rnacentral:rRNA from 1 species